GAGCGGCAGCACGGGUACUUGUACCUGGUGGCGAGCGGCGGACGGGUGAGUAAUGCCUAGGAAUCUGCCUGGUAGUGGGGGAUAACGCUCGGAAACGGACGCUAAUACCGCAUACGUCCUACGGGAGAAAGCAGGGGACCUUCGGGCCUUGCGCUAUCAGAUGAGCCUAGGUCGGAUUAGCUAGUUGGUGAGGUAAUGGCUCACCAAGGCGACGAUCCGUAACUGGUCUGAGAGGAUGAUCAGUCACACUGGAACUGAGACACGGUCCAGACUCCUACGGGAGGCAGCAGUGGGGAAUAUUGGACAAUGGGCGAAAGCCUGAUCCAGCCAUGCCGCGUGUGUGAAGAAGGUCUUCGGAUUGUAAAGCACUUUAAGUUGGGAGGAAGGGCAUUUACCUAAUACGUAAGUGUUUGACGUUACCGACAG
rnacentral:rRNA from 1 species